GUGCCAGCCGCCGCGGUAAUACGUAGGGUGCAAGCGUUAAUCGGGAUUACUGGGCGUAAAGCGUGCGCAGGCGGUUAUGUAAGACAGAGGUGAAAUCCCCGGGCUCAACCUGGGAACUGCCUUUGUGACUGCAUAGCUAGAGUACGGUAGAGGGGGAUGGAAUUCCGCGUGUAGCAGUGAAAUGCGUAGAUAUGCGGAGGAACACCGAUGGCGAAGGCAAUCCCCUGGACCUGUACUGACGCUCAUGCACGAAAGCGUGGGGAGCAAACAGGAUUAGAAACCCGUGUAGUCC
rnacentral:rRNA from 1 species